AGGGCUUGUUGAGAAAGUCACCGGUCACAGGUGUGUACAUGUGACACCGGCACCUUGAACUCUCUGGAGCACUGGAAACUCCUGCAGCUCUGUCCACUGAAGAGGCCCAGAAGCAAUGUUACCCAGAGGUAAUGAACGUACCAGUGCCAAGACCUUGGUUUCAAAGUACUGUUCAUCACUGAAAGGAAGGAAUGUUCCCUGGAAAAAUGGCUGAUUCCAGAUCAGAAACAGAGAAUGUACAAGGUGAGCCUGGAACAUCUUAUGUCAGAAGCAAAGAAAGUGUGCAGAGAAUGAACCAACUUACAAUAAUGGUAUUACAGGUAGACAACCACAU